AUCUGGGAAGGGAAGGAAAAAUAUAAAAAUAUAUGGGAAAGCACUUUGAGUUAAUCAUUUUCAGUUGGCCAUUGGCCAUCAGAGCUUAUGGAGAAGAGCAAUGAGAAGAAACCCACAGAGGAGGAAAAUACAGAGAUAAACAGAAAACUUCAUUUAAUAGAAUCUCACUGAAUUUUGCUGAGACCUGGGAAGGAGGAGCGCCUGCCAGGUCUUGAGAGCGCUGCAAAAAGGAGGAAGUUAUAGAAUUCUCACCAGGAAUUGUUCACAAAGCAGGAAGCCAUGAUUGUAACUGCCGGGAAAAACCUCACCUCUCUGAAAUAAAUGCUGGCAGCCAUUAAAGAUCCAUUUAAGAAAAACACGAA